GUAGGUCAUUGGUAAAAAUAGAAAAAAAAGAGUAGAUGGGCUUUGACAUUAGAGAAGCUUCCAUUAAAGAAAACACUCAGUUCAAUUAGAAAGAUAGCUCUGAAUCCAUGAUAUUGCACAGGUAGAAAAGCUUUAAAAAAAAACACAUUCCAAACAACCGGUUAUGGUCAAUAAUCAUCAGUCAUUUGUGUCAAUACCGUACAUGUUGAGUGCCCUUCUCUACAAGCUUGCUGAAAGUCUGUAGUUAAUUAGUUUACAGAGAAAUAGAAUUAUAUUUGGUCAAACACACGCAAGCUGAUAAGUCUGCUGUUAGAACAAGUGACUUUAGCUUCCCUCCAGCCCUGAGGAGUGAGCUGGGUCUUUUAUGGCCCUGCCUCUGGGGGCCUGUCUUCAUGCUGUUCUGGGCUGAUGGAGAGGGCGAGGGGCAGUCGAGUAAGCUGGGGCCUUUUAUGGCCCUGCCUCUGGGGGCCUGUCUUCAUGCUGUUCUGGGCUGAUGGCUGUUGGAGAGGGGAGGGGAGGGGCAGUCGAGUGAGCUGGGGCCUUUUAUGGCCCUGCCUCUGGGAGCCUGUCUUCAUGCUGCUNNNNNNNNNNNNNNNNNNNNNNNNNNNNNNNNNNNNNNNNNNNNNNNNNNNAACUGCUGUGGAAAUUGGCACCAAAACACAGAUAGUGGUCAUUAUUUCAUCCCCGCAUCCCUUUUUGUUUAGCUACUGUAAACAUGGCUACUUAACCUCACCAGUGUUUGGUAAGCAUAUCAAAACAUAAUGUUUUACUCUGCUGCAGAGGGAAGGGUGUAAUUAUGAAGCCUGGGGGGAUGUGUAUAUCAAUGAGACAGCUGUGGCUCAUCAGAGAAAGCAACAUGAAUCUGUACACAAAUCUGUGUCUUCCCAUGACUGUAGUGUAGAAGGUCCUGCCAUAGAUCUUACAAGGGAUCAGCUCUCCAUUGGAGUGCAGAGCCUCCUCCACAUCUGUACAGGAAGGAAUGGAUGGGGUGUUUCGCCUUCUGUACAUCGCAAUGGCAUUUGUCGGUUUAUGUGAAAUGUAUUUUUAGCUAAUUCUAUUAUAAAUUCUCAGUCUGAAACAUCACAAGCUAAAUGUACUCAAGUAACAAACACUAUAAUGCACUAGUUCAAAACAGCAUAAAAAACUGCAUAAAAUAGUUGCCUAUAUAGGGGAAAUACAUGGAAAACUUCAGUUUAAUGUAUUUGAUACCAUUCCACCUAUUCCGCUCCAGCCAUUAACACGAGCCCGUCCUCCCAAAUAAAAAGGUACCACCAACCUCCUCUGGUAGAGGUGCUCAAAAAGUGACUUUUUGGACCUCAAUGUCAAAAUAAAAGAUAGAUAAAAGGUUCUCAAAGAUCAUAUAGGGGCUCAAAGUUGACCUAUUUUGCAUACCCCACCAUACAGUGAGACAUCCACGUCUUCAUCAUUGGAAAAAAUGAACGGUUGAGAUUGACAACAUAUUAAAGCUUAAAUAUUUUUAAAUGUUUUUGGUUUUUUUUACCUAUUAAACGUCAAUUAUCUAAAAACACCCAUUUUUUUCUCUCCAUAAAUUUGUCUAGCCUAUGUUGUAGCUUAGACCCUAUUUGAUAUCAUCUGAGGUUUUUGUGUUGUGUUUUGAGAAUUGAGAUUAAAGUCAAACAUUUUAAAGCUUUUUUUCAAGAAAUUAUAAAAUAGUUUUGCAACCCCGUUUGUAAGCUUUUAAAGUAUAUCAAACUAAACUGUUUAUCUUUUCCUGUGAUGAUAACAUGGAUGUCUCAUGGUCUGAAAAAUAGGUCAACAUUGAGCACCUUUAUACAUGUAGGUUAAACCAGGCCCAUUUUUAGGCUCUUGUUUUGGUAGUGAGAUGGAAUAACCUUUUAUCUUGGCCAGGUUGCAGUUGUAAAUGAAAACUUGUUCUCAACUGGCCUACCUGGUUAUUAAAUAAAGGUGAAAUAAAUAAAUAAAAACCUAACAGUUGAUCAAUGUUGGCUUGAAGUUUAGCAUGAGGCUGCCAUUCUAAGCAUACAUUACGUCCUUUGCUCAAGCGCUGUAGCCAACAUGUAAGGCUAUCAAAUAGCUUCUGAGUUACCAAAUAGCAAUCAACUAUUCAAAUUAAUGUAAAUGCCUUCAUUACGAACAACCAGUGCCACCAAUGUUUUCAUAACACCCUAGCUAGUCAUAGACUAGUCCGCCCUGUUUUGGCUUGACACAGCAAAGGACGUUUUCAGUAAAGAGAAUUCCUGAAAAACAACACAAAAAAACGACAUUUAUUAAACAGUAAAGUCGAUAACUGGUUAAGUCCUCAAUUGAUUAAUUACCAGCGUUAAACGUCUUACCCUUAAAACCCACCAUCUCGCUUGUCUGUGUCGGUUUCUGCUGUUGCAUGAAAUUGAGGUAGGUAACAACAGACUUUGGCUUUCCCAAACUCGGUCCUGCUUCUUGGCUGUGCCGGUCAGUAUCAAUUAAAUGUCGAUUUAUGGGCUUUAUUGACACGGGAAACAUGUUUACAUUGCCAAAGCAGGUGAAAUGGAUAAUAAACAAAUGUGAAAUAAACCAUUUAAAAAAAGAACAGUAAGCGUUACACUGACUGCUCAGGCGCGCUUUCUUUGACACACACAAUCUGUAGUUUUUCAUUCCUAAUAGUAGGCCUAUAAGAUUUUUUUUUUGAUAUUGAGUCGUGUUGGAACAAUUAUUAGGCUAAGAAAUAAAAAAUAACGUAAUUGAAUUACAUUUAUUAAAAUACAUCUAGCCUAAUUGAACACGCGAGCCAGUGCACGAGCCCUGCCCAACCGCCUAGCGCUCAGACGUCAUGCCCACGUGCGCCAGAAGAGGUCCAGCUGCAUCUGUAGAUGCGACAGAAAACAAAUGACCGCUUAUGUCGCUGUGUGAUUAACCGUGCAAAGCAGCUUGUUUGGAAGUCCUCAACACACACAGGGUAAGAUUUAAUAACGUGUCAAGUUUCGGUGUAUGUAAUCGGUUUAAAUGGUGCCGCUUUCGACAGCCUCAAAGGCUGGCAAACUACAGAUUGCAGAGAAGUAUUUGUCAAUAUUUACCGAUAUUUUCUGGUGUUUUGAUUUAGGCCAGUUGAAACUCGUCCCCUUGUUUUGCAAAUGAUACAUCGCCACAAAUGUGAUUACAAUGUUGCCAUACAGCGGACGUUAAUGCUAUUACAGAGUUGAAACAUUAAUUAGUACGGUUACAUGCACACAAUGAUGCGAUUGUGGAUAGUCAGAUUAAUAAUAGUUCGAUUAAAACGUGUACAUGCUUUGCAAGAACGAUUUCCAUAAUAAUCCUGUUUACAGAUGAAAUCAGGCUACAUAAUGGCUCUCUAAAAUGUAGAACAUCGCCAAUCAAAAUAAACGCUCUUUCUACCACAGCGAACAUGUUCGGACAUUAAAAUUCAUAUGUGAAAACUACUUCUAAAAGAUGCAUACAUUCAGUUGUUCACAACACAAUUGACUCGCGUUAGAGGGAGGCUCGCUCGGCUGGUGCUAGCACAUUCGCAGGUAGAAUGCAACACUGGAACGCCGAUCAAGGUGUUAACAUCUUCUAAUAGUUAAAGAUUGCUCAGAAAACCAGGUGUUUUUAAUCGGCAAUAUUGACCUUGUGCCGAUUAAGAUAAACAGAGUAUGGUGUUUACAUGAUUUGUUUAUUCUACCUACUGCCUUAAUCCGUUUAAUAUUUAAUUAUGUGUGUGCAUGUAAACGUUGUAACAACAAAAUACACUCACUGUCGCGCUCUAGUCCACAUUCGUUCAAAUUGAAUUAGAGAAAUAUCGUAAUGGGGGGGAUUACCAAGCCUUUCAUCAGGGCCGGUCCUGGCCUUUCUGCUACCCUAGGUGAGACAAAAAAAUGGCAACCCCUACAAGAGUAGCGACAGUAAGCAAAAUUACGUUGUAAAGAUGUCUAAAAUACGUGUUUUUCCAGAUAUUGAAGUUAUUCAAUUUAGGUUCUGAGUGAAAGGUGAAAAUGUGUAUUUUCCGGAAGUUGAUCCCAGCUUCGUUUUUGGUUCUGAAUGAAAGUUGAAAAUGUGUCAUUUUUAGACCUCUAUGGUUGGGCCAAAUCAAGGCUGGUCCAGACAAACCUAAAUCUGAUUGGUUCGGACCGAACCAAAAAACAACUUAUGUGUAAGUCAAGGUCGGUCCAGACUGCACCAAAAAUACAAGUCUGGUCCAGACAGGGCAAAAAAAACGACAAAAGGCGUCAACAUCGGUCUGUGCUUACUGAGGUAUAGCCUACAGCAGGGAUGGAGAAACUCCACUCCUUGGUGGGGCCAGAGUGGUGUCACACUUUUUCCCCUUCCCUAAUCAACACAGCUGAUGAGACUAAUUGCAUUCUAAACUGAGGAUCAUUAUUAGUUCACUGUUGCUGUCAGAUGUGACACCAAUCAGGACCCAGAGGACUGGAGUUGUGCAUCCCUGGCCUACAGUGGCACCCUGGCCUACAGUAGCACCUGUAAAACACCCCAAAAAAGAUGGCCGGACAGGACCAAAAAAGAUGGCCGGUCCGGACAGGACCAAAUAAGGAUUUCCAAAAGACGUGGGACAGUGCUUACUAGGGUGUAGCCUACCAUGUCGC
rnacentral:lncRNA from 13 species